UACAGGUAGAGAACACUGAGUCUCCAAGGGCCUGCAACAUUCCCCAUGUAUGUAGAAUUGGAAGGAAGGAGAGGGAGGCCAACCCAGAGUAAUUUCAUAAUUUUUACCAGGUGCACCAGAAGCAAGCAUGCAUUUUCUAAAACCAGUGAACCAUGACAUCAGAAGAUUCUUAAGUCACGCCAGAACCAAACCUGCAUUUCAUCUAAUCUCUGAUCUAAAUUAGGCCUCAGACAUGCAAUUGUUUUACCCAGUUGCAAUCCAACAUGAAGUGUGUUUGUUGGGCCUGUCUAUCUCGGCUCAGUUGUGUUGUGGUCCAGUUCUGUCUCACUGGUUCUCUGCAUCUGGGUGGCUGGCUGUCUUUGUCCCUCUGUGUUUCUAUACUUUGUCUCUCUGCUUUUUGCUUUCAGUCUCUCUGUUAUUCCGCCUGUGAUCUUUCUCACUCUGCUGCUGCCCUUUUCUGAAGUGCUUUCAACACUAAGUCACGUUUAAGAGCACCUUGAAAUCACCUCCUGCCUCUUUCUUCAGUCUCAUCUGUCAACAUGCUUAGAAGGGUAUGUGGCUUGUAACAAGCAUGUUACAGUCAUUCACUAUUAUGAUUCCCCACAUUUGUGUAGCACUUUUCCAGGUAGUUUCUGAGAUCAGCACGCUGGGUGACACCACAAAAUGGAAAGAAAGGCUUUGGGAGAAAGAAGAUUUCAUGGGCUGAUGAAAAGAAAUACUUAGGUGACUUCUCUUGGCUGUGUGUGUCUUCUCAUAUCUUUCACAAGAGGCAGUCUGAGAUAUCUCAGGCAACUGCAGGGUAUGCAUGUGGCA
rnacentral:lncRNA from 1 species